AGAGCGAACGCUGGCGGCAGGCUUAACACAUGCAAGUCGAGCGGAUGUAGCAAUACAUCAGCGGCAGACGGGAUAGUAACACGUGGGAACGCGCCCUUUGGUUCGGAAUAACUCAGGGAAACUUGAGCUAAUACCGGAUAAGCCCUUACGGGGAAAGAUUUAUCGCCAAAGGAACGGCCCGCGUCCGAUUAGCUAGUUGGUGAGGUAAUGGCUCACCAAGGCGACGAUCGGUAGCUGGUCUGAGAGGAUGACCAGCAUCACUGGGACUGAGACACGGCCCAGACUCCUACGGGAGGCAGCAGUGGGGAAUAUUGGACAAUGGGCGCAAGCCUGAUCCAGCCAUGCCGCGUGGAUGAUGAAGCCCUAGGGUUGUAAAGUCCUUUAACGGGAGAUAAUGACGGUACCCGUAGAAUAAGCCCGGCUAACUCGUGCCAGCAGCCGC
rnacentral:rRNA from 1 species